rnacentral:rRNA from 1 species
GACGAACGCUGGCGGCGUGCCUAAUACAUGCAAGUCGAACGCAGUGGGGACGGGUGAGUAACACGUGGGUAACCUCCCAUCAGAGGGGAUAACACUUGGAAACAGGUGCUAAACCGAUACUGAUGGAUGGACCCCCUGUUCAUUAGCUAGUUGGUGAGGUAACGGCUCACCAAGGCCACGAUGAAUAGCCGAACGUAGAGGGUGAGCGGCCACACUGGGACUGAGAAACGGCCCAUACUCCUACGGGAGGCAGCAGUAGGGAAUCUUCGGAAAUGGACGAAAGUCUGACCGAGCAACGCCGCGUGAGUGAAGAAGGUUUUCGGAUCGUAAAACUCUGUUGUUAGAGAAGCGGAAGCUAACCAGAAAGCCACGGCUAACUACGUGCCAGCCGCCGCGGUAAUAC